rnacentral:rRNA from 1 species
UACGUAGGUGACCAGCGUUGUCCGGAUUUACUGGGCGUAAAGAGCGCGCAGGCGGCGUGACAAGUCACUUGUGAAAUCUCCGGGCUUAACUCGGAACGGUCAAGUGAUACUGUCGUGCUAGAGUACAGAAGGGGCAACUGGAAUUCUCGGUGUAGCGGUGAAAUGCGUAGAUAUCGAGAGGAACACCUGCGGCGAAGGCGGGUUGCUGGGCUGAUACUGACGCUGAGGCGCGAAAGCUAGGGGAGCGAACGGG